UCCGCACGAGCGCACCCCUAUCCUUAGUUGCUAGCAGGUAAUGCUGAGAACUCUAAGGAGACUGCCGGUGAUAAACCGGAGGAAGGUGGGGACGAGGUCAAGUCAUCAUGGCCCUUAUGGAUUGGGCUACACACGUGCUACAAUGGGAAGUACAGAGGGAUGCGAAAGCGCGAGCUGAAGCCAAACCCUUAAAACUUUUCUUAGUCCGGAUUGGAGUCUGCAACUCGACUCCAUGAAGUCGGAAUCACUAGUAAUCGCGAAUCAGAAUGUCGCGGUGAAUACGUUCUCGGGCCUUGUACACACCGCCCGUCACAUCAUGGAAGUGGGUUGCACCAGAAGUGGUUAGUCUAACCUUCGGGAAGACGAUCACCACGGUGUGAUUCAUGACUGGGAUGAAGUCGUAACAAGGUAGCCCUAGGGGAACCUGGGGCUGGAUCACCUCCUU
rnacentral:rRNA from 1 species